GCGGGGGGCGCAUGCGCAGUUCGGCCAAACAAACCUCUCCUCACUUGGCGCUCCUGCGGGUUUUUUGCCUUCCCUGUGGCGCAUGCGCACUUCAUGUAGUCGGUUGCCGUGGCGACGGGAAGCAGUGCUUGCGGCCUAGCAGAGGUCGGCUGUGAUCGACAGUGCUGUGGAAUUCGAAGAGGACCCACUACCACGACACCACACUUGGAAGGCAGAUUCGGACACGUAAUAUCGCCUAUGGCAUUCCCCGUAGUUGCUACAACUGCUAAUUCUUCAAUACCUGGCCGGUGAUUAGAAUUUUCCAGUCCAUGCAACAACGACAGAUGAAAGUUCGGCGCUCCCUAAAGUGCCCUGACAUGCUGCUUGGCCGAUGAGAAAAAGGAAAGAGCGCCUGGCGAGCCAUACCAGUUUAUCCUGUCAUUUUCUCCUUCAAACCAUCAUCUUUAUUGCAAUACUGGGUGCCUUCGGUGCCCCCAACGGGGGGGAAAGAAAGGUUCACAACUGCACACAUGCAAACACACUCACGCACAAGCACAUAUUCACUCUCACGCACGCAGACCCUCCUGCAUCGGGCUCACAAGUCUUCUCUAGUCAUUCUUUUUUUUCCUGUAAUACAGAGGUACUAAAAUAUAUAUUACUUAAAAUAUAUUAUUUAUAAACGCAUACGUUGAUUUUUCACAUCAACUCUAUUGCAUGGGCAGGAAAAGGGAAGGGGGAAAAAGACCACCAACCCCAACCCUAACCCCACCCUCUUCUCCUGGUUUUCCUAAAUGGCUUUGAGUUCGGCCCCAACGAAAGGUGCAAUCCUAGGCAGGACAGUCGGAGGCAGGAAAGGAGUGGCUCCAAUGUCAGCCGACCCAAGGGGCAGAGGAGCAACGGACAGGCUGGGCAUUUCCCCCUCGUUUGAUUUUCGGGGAGGAACUCUGAGGUUCACCACAGUGAAGAUAAUUGCAACCAAAGCAAUGAAACCAGAGAGCAGCAAUUUGGGACAGAAAUGGGCCAAGCCAUCAGGGGCUGUGCUGGGAAGAGGUAACCCAGGGGCUGCAGAGGAGCCCACCGGUUUUGCAGCCAAAAGGCAACACCCCCCCCCCCCCAACCUGGCACCCCUCAUGGCUUCUAUAAGCAUGAAACCAGAGGGUUCCACGACCAAGGCUACGAGAACGGAGUGACGAAACACAGAAACACAAGACACAUUUGGGAAGGGAGCUCUUUUCCGGCAAAGGGACCCUCCCUGCAUUGCUAAGGCGCUAUAGAACUCCCCUUGGCCUGGCUUCAUUUUCCUCCAGAUGCUUUGGAAUUUCAUGCUGAUUUAUGACUGGCUUUAACCGCCUUUUGCCCCCCCCCCACCCCCCCCAAAGUGGCACACGGGAGCAGCAGAGAGGGAUGGAUAUAAACUUUUCUAUUAAUAAAUAAGACUUUUUUUUUUUAAAAAAAGGUAAACAUCUACAAAGGGAACUGGACGGUGCAUAUCCCACGGUACCUGCAGAGAGGUGCUGCCCUGACUGAGGUGCCCCAGGUUUUAUUUGAAGCCAAUCCCAGCGCAGAGAGCAAUGGCUACCUUCAUCCGUGCAAGUGAUGCUGCCUUUUCCUGAGAACUCUUGCAGCCUAUGUUCGGUUCCUGCCGGAGCCUCAGCUGCAUCUCCGGCGUGAACUCCCCUGCAAGAGACAGAAAAAGAGAGAGAGGGACCCACAUUUGUGCAAAUUCCAGAAGGGAACGAGACAAAGCUGCCCACUUUCCCUGCUAUUCUUUAUCCUCAUAACAGAAAUUCUGUUAUGCAAAAACAGAAGACCGUAGAAGAUGAAGCAAAAGUUAUAAUACAAAGGCAUGUGCAGACGAUGUGAUGACAGUCUUGGAAGACCCCUGAAACAGUAUGGAACCGUUACUGAAAACACUACAAGACUAUGGAGAAGUGGCAGUAUUCAAAAUAAACAAACAAAAAAAUUAAAUCGCGACAAAAGAGGAAAAAGUAAAAUGGGCACAAAUAGCAGGGUUUACAAUAGAGAAGAAAGUAAAUUAUCUGAGUAUUACAGUUUCAGAUAAAAAAUAAUUUUUAUUCCAGAAUAACUACAAUAAAAAUUGGCUAGUAAUUAAACAGGACCUACAAAGAUGGAAGAAAUUAUAGCUGUCCUUACUUGGAAAUAAUGCAUGUGAGAGAGGCAUUCACACUCACACACACACACAACAGUGGAAAGGAAGAAAGAGUUAAGCAGAGGAGACCAGGGCCUUUCUGUUACACCACAGAUGUGUUAUGUUUGAAGCCCCUCGAGGUAAAAGAAGGGCAUCUCCCUCCGUGCACUGGGUGCCUUUUGCUUCCCGGGACAAUGAAGCUCUUUGGCUUCUCCUAAUGGUAGUGGUCUGCAGGUGGGCUGCUCCUGCCAGGGCUUUUGACUCCCAAAUCCCGGAGCCCCAACACUAUUCCCAGGCCGGCCUCACCUUCCGAGAGCCGCUCCUUCCAGCUUUGGGCCGCAGAGGUGAAGAAUUCAUUGUUCAGGGCAGAGCUGCUGAGCUUCGUCAAGCCGUCCAUCCCCACCUGAGAGGAGGAAAGUGACAUAAAGGAAGAAGAAGAAGAAGAAGAGCGGAGUGAGAUGCAAGGAUCCAGGAGGCAGAGGGUGGGAGAAGGUGUAGCACAUCCUUGGGCUUGUCAGCCAACAUGGAGAAAGGCAUGGGCCCAAGGAUAAGGGGAGAGCACAGGGUCCCUCAAGCGGGUUUCUUCCCAAUGCUGCCCUUGACCUCCCCCUUACGUGCCUGUGCCUUUGGAAAGCUGAAGGGCACAGACCCACAAAUGCAUGCGGGGAACAACUGAGACCGACAACAACUGUUUUUCAGCUGCUCUCCACAAGCACUUGUGGGUCUGUGCCCUUCAGCUUUCCAAAGUCUCAAAAGGAGCAAGGCUUUCCGCAGGCGUCUAUGGGAGAGCUGAGUCCCAAGCCGGCUUCAGCAGCUACCGUGCAGUGGCAAAACUAGGGGUGGGUAUAGUGUGGCCUGUGUGGAGCAUGUCACUUUCACACCCCACUUUUGUGCCCCCCUCCAAGGCAUCUGUGUGAGAGCCGAGUGCCAAGCCGGCUUCAGCGGCUACCGUGCAGUGGCAAAACUAGGGGUGGGCAUAAUGUGGCCUGUGUGGAGCAUGUCACUUUCACACCCCACUUUUGUGCCGCCCCUAAUCUCAACCUCCAUUUUUUUUCCAAUGGUGAAAUUUUCAGGCACUUAUUUUCUCCAUAAAACACACAGGUGGCCCCUCAAAUGCCAAAAUAGCCGCACUUCGCCCAGUAACCUAUGCCAUACCCAGAUACAUCUUUUCUUUUGCACUUCCUUUCAAAAGGGCUAUAUCAUCUCCAGGACUGCAGAGGAAAAUGCAGGUACGUGGGCUUGCUGAGAUGGGGGUGUUGCCUGUUGGGAGGGGGUGCAGAAGGAGUCUAGGCGGGAUUGGUCCCCACGCAGUGACCCACCCCGAUCUGAACCUUUGGUUCCCUUUUUCUGCAAGAAGGUGGGUUUCUGAAAUGCAGAGCAGACCAACCUAGUGAGGUUGAGGAAGCACCCCAAAUGGACCCUCUGGCUGUCCUGUUGCACAGACCACACCAGUCCCACUCAUCCAAACCCAGGGGUGGGAGUGUUGGGGCGGCUGGGAAGUCGAUGCCUCCAUCCAGCCCCCUUUGCUGCCUCCGUGAGACCCACCUGCCUGUCCACCUCCGGGAGUAGCAGCAGGAGCCGUUGUUGGCAGUCGGCCGGCAGGAGGGAGAAGGUGUGCUUGUUGAUCAGGGCCCGCAGGUUGGUGUUCACCAGGAUGGAGUCCGGGGUCUCCACGUCGAUCUCAGCGCACUUCGUCCUUUUCAACUGCCCUGCACAGAGGGGACAUGAGGGGUCACAGCUGUCACACCUCAGAAUAGUUCACCUUGCUAUUGACACCAAGCCACACACAGGAGAUAGUCUUUUGUAGUUUUAUUGAGCAAAAGCUUUAUAUAUAGAAUAUCAAAGCAGGCAAAAUAUAGUUCCCAAAGUAAUUGUAAAAUAGAGUCAAUAUUUAUGGGCCGGGCUGUGGCGCAGCUGGCUAGUAAUCAGCUGCAAUAAAUCACUACUGACCGAGAGGUCAUGAGUUCGAAGCCUGGGUCGGGUUAAGCCCCCGACCAUUAAAUAGACCGGCUUGCUGUUGACCUAUUCAGCCUCGAAAGACAGUUGCAUCUGUCAAUUAGGGAAAUUUAGGUACGCUUUAUGCGGGAGGCUAAUUUAACUAAUUUACAACAUCAUAAAACUGCCAGCAAAACACGAGGAAAGGAAUGAGGAAGUACAGCCCUAGUGGAUGGUGAAGCAACAGCUCCCCCUGUGGCCGGAAUUGAGAAGCUGGAAAAAUGUUAAAUGCCUCUGUGUCUGUCUAUACUGUAUGUUGUUUAUCUGUUGGCAUUGAAUGUUUGCCAUAUAUGUGUUCAUUGUAAUCCGCCCUGAGUCCCCUUCGGGGUGAGAAGGGCGGAAUAUAAAUACUGUAAAUAAAAUAAUUCAUAAAUAAAUAAAUAAAUCCAA